GGCCAACCUGGUGGUGGUGGGGAGGAUGGAGGGAAACAACAGCGGCAGUAUCUUCAAACACAAUAAGAUGUCUCUUUUUACACUAGAUCUGCACUUCGGCAUGCUUGCAUAAAUUCCUCUUGCUGCCAGAGCUCGCCUGGUUACCUGCCAUCUGUGGUGCUGAGUCUGCUGGUGUGGAUCUGUGCCACUUGCUCUCCGUAAGCCCUCUGACAAGCCCUGGACUUGUUCUCCCUUUGUGGACCAUUUCUGUUCUGCCAGCUGGAUUCACCCUCAGGAGCCAGUGCUUGACAGUCUGCUUUUGUUCUCUAAGUUUUCUACUGCUCUAAUAAACUGUCUGUUUUCCAGCCA